AACACUUUACGGACCUCAUCUCAUUAAUCCUCACAACAUAUGCUAUUAAAAUGGUAAUUUUAAAAUAGGCUAUGUUGUGAGGAUUAAUGAGAGGACAUCUGUAAGACACUUGGAGGCUCUCUGGAGAGAACUACCAAAUGAAUACAAAUAAAUACAACAUAGCUUCUUGGUGGAAAUGCAAGAUAAGAUCCAAAGUGUGUAAAGAACAUCCAGGUAGGCCAGAGGGAAUGCUAAUAAAACUGCUAAGGGAUCUAGAGGUGGAAUUCCUGAGGUCCUGUAUGUGAAAUGGACCAUCUCUUGGUUUAGAGUGUUCAAUAUACUUUAAAAAGCAUUUGGGGGUAUGGAGGAGGUGACACUACAACCGUGGAUGACCGCUCUAGGGAUAGCUUCUACACAAUCAUUUGGUGAAAAUAUUUUAGUCCAAUAAUAAUUCCCAAAGGGAAACAUCAUCCACACAACUAAACAGGUACCUAGUCUUCUUAAUGAUAAAUGGGUAUCUUUGAUUUGUUUGAUUUGUUUAUUUCAGGUUACCAUACCUUGGAAGAUCUUCUUGACUAUAUCUUGAUCUUUGUUUUGAUGUUUCCAUAACUUCAGUAGCUGGAAAGUCUGUUCUUGUGAGCUGUGUCGCCGUUUUAUCCUCUCUACACUCUCUGCAUUUACUCUGGUGCCAGGCAAAUUGUCUACCAGGACGCUGAGCCAAUUAGGAGUGAACUUUGUAGGAACAGCAAACCUGAAGAAUGCCUCCUCACACAAGGUGACAUCUAAAGAACCCAGGAAAUUUCACAGGAGCCCCUUGACCUGGGAAAAGCAUGCCCAGCUAUGGAAACAACACUCCCUUAUGAAUUUGGAGUGACAAAGAACUGAUUUGCUGCCAACAGCUAAUACUAGGCAAACGGGAAAGGAAACACGAAGAAUUAUGAUUUGUUAGAUGAAUCGCUGAGCCAGAUUCUACACUCUUUUGCUUCCUUUGGGGCUGAAGAACUGUCUCAGAAUUACCAGGACAGAUUUGCUUGUGAUGCUUCUGGCACUUUGGAGGAGUUUUACAGACAGCUGAGUUUGAUAGAUUCACAAGUGAAAAGAAAAAAUCUGAAGCAAAAGAACUAGCAAUACAGGAUUUCCUUCCUCCGCUCAGCUUCAAUGGGUCAUCCUGAUGAAAGAUGGCAGUGAACCUGUAUGAAAGAAGGGUCAGUUGGAAGCAAUGAAGAGAAAAGACUGAUCCUUGUUUUCUUACUCUCACAUAAUAGGGUGUCUGAUUUAAAGUCUACUGUUAGGUAUCUGUUGACCCUUCCAUUUGCAGCCCAGCUAAGCUUUUACAUAAUUUUAGUUCCCUAAAUUUUGAAUUUUUAGCAUUAGAAGAAAGAAGAAGUCCUUCUCAUGAACACCCCUAACAAUAUCUUUGAUACAGAAGGAGUUUCAACUGAUAAUCUAAAACAAUAGGUUUAGGGGCACCUGGGUGGGUGGUUUAGUGGUUGAGCAUCUGCCUUUGGCUCAGGGCAAGAUCCUGGGAUUCUGAGAUGGAGUUCCACUUCGGGCUCCCCACAGGGAGC